AACGAACGCUGGCGGCAUGCCUAACACAUGCAAGUCGAACGCGUGUAGCAAUACACGAGUGGCGGACGGGUGAGUAACGCGUGGGAACCUGCCCAAUGGUAGGGAAUAACUGCGGGAAACUGCAGCUAAUACCCUAUGCUCCCUACGGGGGAAAGAUUUAUCGCCAUUGGAGGGGCCCGCGUCGGAUUAGCUAGUUGGCGGGGUAACGGCCCACCAAGGCUACGAUCCGUAGCUGGUCUGAGAGGAUGAUCAGCCACACUGGGACUGAGAUACGGCCCAGACUCCUACGGGAGGCAGCAGUGGGGAAUAUUGGACAAUGGGGGAAACCCUGAUCCAGCAAUGCCGCGUGAGUGAAGAAGGCCUUAGGGUUGUAAAGCUCUUUCGGCGGGACGAUGGUGACGGUACCCGCAGAAGAAGCCCCGGCUAACUUCGUGCCA
rnacentral:rRNA from 1 species